UACGUAGGGUGCGAGCGUUGUCCGGAAUUAUUGGGCGUAAAGAGCUUGUAGGCGGUUUGUCGCGUCUGCUGUGAAAAUCCGGGGCUCAACCCCGGACUUGCAGUGGGUACGGGCAGACUAGAGUGUGGUAGGGGAGAUUGGAAUUCCUGGUGUAGCGGUGAAAUGCGCAGAUAUCAGGAGGAACACCAACAGCGAAGGCAGAUCUCUGGGACGUUACUGACGCUGAGACGCGAAAGCGUGGGGAGCAAACAGGAU
rnacentral:rRNA from 1 species